rnacentral:rRNA from 1 species
AACGAACGCUGGCGGCAGGCCUAACACAUGCAAGUCGAGCGAGGACUUCGGUCCUAGCGGCGGACGGGUGAGUAACGCGUGGGAACGUGCCCUUUGCUACGGAAUAGCCCUGGGAAACUGGGAGUAAUACCGUAUGUGCCCUUUGGGGGAAAGAUUUAUCGGCAAAGGAUCGGCCCGCGUUGGAUUAGGUAGUUGGUGGGGUAAUGGCCUACCAAGCCGACGAUCCAUAGCUGGUCUGAGAGGAUGAUCGGCCACACUGGGACUGAGACACGGCCCAGACUCCUACGGGAGGCAGCAGUGGGGAAUCUUGGACAAUGGGGGAAACCCUGAUGUAGCCAUGCCGCGUGAGCGAUGAAGGCCUUAGGGUUGUAAAGCUCUUUCAGUGGGGAAGAUAAUGACGGUACCCACAGAAGAAGCCCCGGCUAACUCCGUGCCAGCCGCCGCAGUAAUAC